UUCUUCUCUUUUAUUUCUAUCCCUUCUUUUUCUUUGUCUGUCUCUGAAUAUCAUGAGAGUACCAUCUAGCCUGCAGGGGCUUCUUUCUUCUACAAUAUUUUGCUAAAAUUUCUUUGUUUCACAUUGCAUAUUCCAACACCUCAAAUGGGUACACUUCACUUUUCUAAGUUUUCUUGCUUCCUUUUCAAACCAACUGAAACUACAAUAAAACCGAAACCAAUUAAUUCCCAAUUAUUUCGGUCGGUUUCAAUUGAGAAUUUCACAAACCAAAAUUUUCGGUUUCGGUUGGCCAAACACAAAAAAAAACCAACCGAACCGAACCAAUUACACCCUUAGUAAAUAUAAAAUCUUGUACAUUAACCAAUAUUUUUUUGGGUGCGCUCUGCACUUGAGAAUUUUAGUGGGCUAUGUGAGACAUUACGCCCAAUUAAAUAUGGGGGUGAAGUUAUGUUAAGGAUAAGCAACACGUGAGACAUUUGAGCCCAAUAGAAGUGUCUCCACUGUCCCACAAAGAGGAGAUAGGAAACCGAGGAGGAAGAAGACAGAGACAAAAAGAUUCAGAAAUCAAAUCGCAUUUGCGGAAUUUUAAUAUAAAGCAGCAGAUCAAAUCAGUUCUAAUCAAAUCAACCAAAUCGGCUCGGAAUGUCAAGCACAGGAGUAUAUCCGGGCACAUGGGCCCACGCCCUCGUAAAGGUCUCCCCUUACACCUUUUCUGCCAUCGGUACCACCAUCGCCAUUAGCGUCUCCGCCCUCGAUGCCACCUAGGGCAUUUACAUAACCAGAAGCAGUUUGAUCGGCAUUGCAAUCAAAGCUCCCUGUAUUACUUCCAAAAAUCUCGUUAGGUAUUCUAUCAUUUCUUCAUAUUUUAGUCUAAACAAAAUUAGUCUUAUUUGUUGAUAUGAAUUUUAAAUCUAAUUAGCCAUUGAUCGAUUCAACUUCACUGUUUGUUGGUUUACAAAGUGGUUUUCUGGGGUUGUGGAAUUGUUAAUUAUCUACUACUACAUGUUAAUUUUAUCUUUUGAGUUUUGGUUAAAUUUGAAUUGAACUUGAUAACAAAACUCGCACUUGCUUGGUGUUUUCUAUAAUUGAAAUGCAAUAAGCCCUAUGAAUUCAUAGAGAA